AGCUAGGUCCUGCGCAAGGGAGGUCGGAAACCCCGUCAGAUCCGGAAGGAAGCAGCGGUACCGAUACCACCCCUGUGCCGCAGGGCAGCCUAGCUAUC
rnacentral:SRP_RNA from 1 species